UUAAAUUUAAAACACCCUUUAGGGUGUAAUCCGGGUGUAACUGGGGUGUAAACUAAUUUUUACUCCCAAAUUACACCAGCUCGAAGAAACAUCCUGGGAUGAGGGGUGUUAAAUGGGUGUAAUAAUAAAGUAACACCUUAUUUACAACGUCCACUGAGCUCGGGUGUAAAAGAGGCGUAAAAUGGGUGUAGCGGGCAUAGAGCUUUUACAUGAACUGUAUUUCUUUUGAAAGCACAAUGAUAUGCUUCAUGUUACCUACAGAUGCAUACACUAGGGCACCUCAGUAGAAAUUUUGAGUCUACACUGUAAAUCCUGUGGCGAACAUGUGCCGGUUAAAUAGGUUCCCUCAGAAAGUACAGCCGGUACACAGCCGUAACCGUCUGGAAGCAGCCGUAACAGCUAUCAAAUAGCAAGCUCAACGAUCCCUAUCGCCAAAUAUGUGUGCUCCACUGAAUAAUACGUGUGCCUCCUGAGCCGUAUAUUCGUGUGCUUGUCGAAUAAUCCGUGUGCCGGCUGAAUAUGUGUGCCUUAGCUGGAGCGUACUACGUUGUUGCGCGCUCCGCCAGUGAGGAGUGACGUGGCACCGCGUAUUCUACCGCAGUGCAUUCGUCGCUGCGUUCGUGCCUGUUAUGUGCGCUGCAACCUCGCCUUUGAAAGGACGACAACCUUGCUUUUUAAUUACAAGUUUAAUGUUUGCUUAAGGUAAGUCAACCUGGCUGUGAUGCAACGUACGACGCCUGCGUUUUACUUUAACAAUCGUUGUGUUGCAGACGAUGGACACAUUGCAAAUGGCGGCAGGAGUGGAUCGGCUACAUCGGUGAAGCGUUACAAGCGAGGCUAAUUGUAUUCUUUCGUUAUAGGUGAACUUGGGACUGUAUCGACUGCAAGGACGUAGUGUCCUGUCACAACGGUCACGCAUAUGCGUGCAAAGCUGCAACUGCAUCUCACAUCGAAGAGGGGUCUGGUGCCACAUGCUCGGACAAUUAUUCGUCGGCCAUUUCGUUUGAGGAACUGUCGUGUUCGUCACUAAGGAUGAUCUUGGUUGAGCUUUGCAGUGCCAGCCUGGUGCAUCGGAGGGGUUGUGCCCAUGCAACGUGUGCUCCAUAUGUGUGUGUUGGGAUUAGUGAACCGUGUAUGCUUUCCAUUCGGCCAACGAUGAUGUACUGGAUGAAAUUUAAAGGUAUGUGCACGCCAAUAAAAUUUAGUGUUUCAAGUUCAAUGUCCUUGGUGCAUUUUUUCCCCUAUUUUCUUCUUCUUUUUUCUUUUUCUUUUUUUGCGAAGCCUGGAGAUCAUUUUCUUUAGAGAACUCGAGAGGCAUAAUGUGUCUCGCGUAUUAGUGGGUACAAGUAUUCCUUCACUACGUCCGGUACACUGUGGCUCCUGGCGUCAGCAGCGAUGUCGUACCAGUUGUUUCAGGGGGCACAGGGCACCUACAGCUUUCGCAGGCUUCCUCUUGAAGUCAUCUGGUGCACUUUUUCAGAAAUGUGACAGUUGAUCAGGCGGCAUCUAUCCGUCAAUGGGUUUAGAAUGUACAUUGUACCUAUUUGAGACGUACUUGUCUGAAGUUUGAGUUUCGGGCUUUCACAGCAUUCUGCAGCCUCUGUGAAGAGUCGUUGCAAGUAGUAAGCAGCAGGCAGGUCGGGAAAAAUCUGCUGUGCCUGUUUAUUACUCACUACCUGCAGCAUGCCGCAGAAAGCAGCGAAACCAUGAAACCCAAAUGACAGACAGUAUGUCGCCAGCAGUACAUGUCCAGCUCAAUAUGACUUUUUUUCAGAGCAUUCAAGAAAACCUGUGAAGCGAAAAAGCCGCUGCUCCUUGCUCGCUCUUUCGCUGCUCCUUGAGGGCACCUUAAGCUUUGGCACACUUUGCUAUACUGGCGUCAGGAGUUUUAAAGCAGUGUUGCCCAGCAGGACUUUACAUCAUUCUUGUUGAAUGUUUCUUUUAAGACCCCAGAACUAAGGGAGACCGAGCUUUGUUAUGCAAUGCACAAAGCAGGUGCUUUGUAUCCUGGCAAGCAAGAGUUUCAUGCCAUAUAUAGCUUCGGCGGUAAUUACGGUUCCAGUGUUGAUAUGUGGUGUUUGUCUGGUUUGGCCUUAUUAGCAAUACAAAGGAUUGUAACUGCGGUAGCAAUUGGACCUCAAGCACUAUGAAAUAAAGAACCGUUAUACUUAACCUA